rnacentral:rRNA from 1 species
UACGUAGGGUGCGAGCGUUGUCCGGAAUUAUUGGGCGUAAAGAGCUCGUAGGCGGUCUGUCGCGUCGGAUGUGAAAACUCGGGGCUCAACCCCGAGCCUGCAUUCGAUACGGGCAGACUAGAGUUCGGUAGGGGAGACUGGAAUUCCUGGUGUAGCGGUGAAAUGCGCAGAUAUCAGGAGGAACACCGGUGGCGAAGGCGGGAUCCUGGGCCAGUACUGACGCUGAGGAGCGAAAGCGUGGGGAGCAAACAGG